AGUCCGCGCGAACGGGUGAGUAACACGUGGGUAACCUGCCCAUCAGAAGGGGAUAACACUUGGAAACAGGUGCUAAUACCGUAUAACAAUCGAAACCGCAGGGUUUUGAUUUGAAAGGCGCUUUCGGGUGUCGCUGAUGGAUGGACCCGCGGUGCAUUAGCUAGUUGGUGAGGUAACGGCUCACCAAGGCGACGAUGCAUAGCCGACCUGAGAGGGUGAUCGGCCACAUUGGGACUGAGACACGGCCCAAACUCCUACGGGAGGCAGCAGUAGGGAAUCUUCGGCAAUGGACGAAAGUCUGACCGAGCAACGCCGCGUGAGUGAAGAAGGUUUUCGGAUCGUAAAACUCUGUUGUUAGAGAAGAACAAGGAUGAGAGUAACUGUUCAUCCCUUGACGGUAUCUAACCAGAAAGCCACGGCUAACUACGUGCCAGCAGCCGCGGUAAUACGUAGGUGGCAAGCGUUGUCCGGAUUUAUUGGGCGUAAAGCGAGCGCAGGCGGUUUCUUAAGUCUGAUGUGAAAGCCCCCGGCUCAACCGGGGAGGGUCAUUGGAAACUGGGAGACUUGAGUGCAGAAGAGGAGAGUGGAAUUCCAUGUGUAGCGGUGAAAUGCGUAGAUAUAUGGAGGAACACCAGUGGCGAAGGCGGCUCUCUGGUCUGUAACUGACGCUGAGGCUCGAAAGCGUGGGGAGCAAACAGGAUUAGAUACCCUGGUAGUCCACGCCGUAAACGAUGAGUGCUAAGUGUUGGAGGGUUUCCGCCCUUCAGUGCUGCAGCUAACGCAUUAAGCACUCCGCCUGGGAGUACGACCGCACGUUGAAACUCAAAGGAAUUGACGGGCCCGCACAAGCGGUGGAGCAUGUGGUUGAUUCAAGCAACGCGAGAACCUUACAAGGUCUUGACAUCCUUGACCACUCUGAGAUAGAGCUCCCCUUCGGGCAAAGUGACAGUGUGCAUGGUUGUCGUCAGCUCUGUCGUGAGAUGUGGUAGUCCCGCAACGA
rnacentral:rRNA from 1 species